AAGGGUAUAGCUUAGUGGUAGAGUGCAUGCUUAACAUGCAUGAGAUUUGGACUCAAUCCCAGUCACCUUC
rnacentral:tRNA from 1 species